rnacentral:lncRNA from 1 species
UUGAAACUUCCAAUGUUUGAAGAUCUGCUUCUUUGCCCUCUGAACUGUGAGCAAGGAACCUUUCCAAACAGUGUGAACUCAUUGGCUUCCCCAUAACUCUACAGAGCUCGCGCUGCCAUAUAACUGGGAAUCAGAGAGGUUUCUGGACAAUGAAAGGGGCAAGAGAAAGAAUGACAAAGCAAAAUCUAGAAAACUGCAACCUGCAAGAGCCAAGAAGCGGCUAAAACGGAAAAAGCAACUGGGUGCCCUGUUAUCUGUUAUACUUAAGGAAGGUUCCAGACUUGGAAUUGUUAGCUAAUGGAGGCCACAAAGGAAAUCCUAGAGGGAAAGCUUGGCAGUUAAUAGAAUCAAAUCCCCUCCCACUCACUUUACCACUGCAUGCAUGUUGCCUGGAAUUCAGUAAUGCAGCAAACUCCCUCACAAAAAAAUGUGAGAGUUUUGUUAAUGAAAUUGGCAGUCCUCCAAUAAAAGACCUCUCUAUUUUGAAGGACUGAGGAGAAUUUAGAAUUAUGGCUAGCAUCUGACCCAUCUUCCUAAGUGAGGUCUGCCCAUUGAUAAGCUCUGUCAAGAUAUGUAGACAUCAGAGUCUGCAAGUUUAUAUGGGCAAUCAAGAACCACCAAACAUUUGUGGAAAGAUUACAAUAUGAAAAGGAGAGACAAAAUUUUCAAAAAAAAGUCCUGGGAGAAGCAGAAUGCAGGGAAGA